ACCGUCGACUCUGGAGAGAGACUGCGCGACAGUCCACCGAAGGGGCACAAGCUCUCAGGUCGUGGGACAGAGGGGUGACU
rnacentral:ncRNA from 1 species